UACAGAGGUCCCGAGCGUUGUUCGGAUUCACUGGGCGUAAAGGGUGCGUAGGUGGCGAGGUAAGUCGGAUGUGAAAGCUCGGAGCUCAACUCCGAAAUGGCAUUGGAAACUACCUUGCUCGAGGGUUGGAGGGGGGACUGGAAUACUUGGUGUAGCAGUGAAAUGUGUAGAUAUCAAGUGGAACACCAGUGGCGAAGGCGAGUCCCUGGACAACUCCUGACACUGAGGCACGAAAGCUAGGGGAGCAAACAGG
rnacentral:rRNA from 1 species